UGGGGAAUAUUGCGCAAUGGGGGAAACCCUGACGCAGCAACGCCGCGUGAAGGAUGAAGGUUUUCGGAUUGUAAACUUCUUUGAUGAGGGACGAAACAAAUGACGGUACCUCGAAAACAAGCCACGGCUAACUACGUGCCAGCAGCCGCGGUAAUACGUAGGUGGCAAGCGUUGUCCGGAUUUACUGGGUGUAAAGGGCGCGUAGGCGGGAUUGCAAGUCAGAUGUGAAAUACCGGGGCUUAACCCCGGGGCUGCAUUUGAAACUGCAGUUCUUGAGUGUCGGAGAGGCAGGCGGAAUUCCUAGUGUAGCGGUGAAAUGCGUAGAUAUUAGGAGGAACACCAGUGGCGAAGGCGGCCUGCUGGACGAUAACUGACGCUGAGGCGCGAAAGCGUGGGGAGCAAACAGG
rnacentral:rRNA from 2 species